GAUGAACGCUGGCGGCGUGCCUAACACAUGCAAGUCGAACGGGAUGCGUAUCGGAAAGCUUCGGCCGGAAGAUACGUUAUCUAGUGGCGGACGGGUGAGUAACACGUGGGUAACCUGCCUUAUGGAGGGGGAUAACAGAGAGAAAUCACUGCUAAUACCGCAUAAGCACACAGUACCGCAUGGUAGAGUGUGAAAAGAUUUAUCACCAUAAGAUGGACCCGCGUCUGAUUAGCCAGUUGGCAGGGUAAAAGCCUACCAAAGCGACGAUCAGUAGCCGAUCUGAGAGGAUGACCGGCCACAUUGGGACUGAGACACGGCCCAAACUCCUACGGGAGGCAGCAGUGGGGAAUAUUGCCCAAUGGGGGAAACCCUGAUGCAGCGACGCCGCGUGAGUGAAGAAGUAUUUCGGUAUGUAAAGCUCUAUCAGCAGGGAAG
rnacentral:rRNA from 1 species